UUUAAUAUAGCAAAAAUUAGUGCAUUGAAUUUAAACUUCAAAUAUAAAGUAAAUAUCUUUUAUUAAAA
rnacentral:tRNA from 1 species